rnacentral:rRNA from 1 species
ACGUAGGGGGCAAGCGUUAUCCGGAUUUACUGGGUGUAAAGGGAGCGUAGACGGUCAAGCAAGUCAGAAGUGAAAGGCUGGGGCUCAACCCCGGGACUGCUUUUGAAACUGUUUGACUAGAGUGCUGGAGAGGUAAGCGGAAUUCCUAGUGUAGCGGUGAAAUGCGUAGAUAUUAGGAGGAACACCAGUGGCGAAGGCGGCUUACUGGACAGUAACUGACGUUGAGGCUCGAAAGCGUGGGGAGCAAACAG